rnacentral:rRNA from 1 species
CCUGGCUCCCGUUGAACGCUAGCUACAGGCUUAACACAUGCAAGUCGAGGGGCAGCAUGGUCUUAGCUUGCUAAGACUGAUGGCGACCGGCGCACGGGUGAGUAACACGUAUCCAACCUGCCGUCUACUCUUGGACAGCCUUCUGAAAGGAAGAUUAAUACAAGAUGGCAUCAUGAGUCCGCAUGUUCACAUGAUUAAAGGUAUUCCGGUAGACGAUGGGGAUGCGUUCCAUUAGAUAGUAGGCGGGGUAACGGCCCACCUAGUCUUCGAUGGAUAGGGGUUCUGAGAGGAAGGUCCCCCACAUUGGAACUGAGACACGGUCCAAACUCCUACGGGAGGCAGCAGUGAGGAAUAUUGGUCAAUGGGCGAGAGCCUGAACCAGCCAAGUAGCGUGAAGGAUGACUGCCCUAUGGGUUGUAAACUUCUUUUAUAAAGGAAUAAAGUCGGGUAUGGAUACCCGUUUGCAUGUACUUUAUGAAUAAGGAUCGGCUAACUCCGUGCCAGCAGCCGCGGUAAUACGGAGGAUCCGAGCGUUAUCCGGAUUUAUUGGGUUUAAAGGGAGCGUAGAUGGAUGUUUAAGUCAGUUGUGAAAGUUUGCGGCUCAACCGUAAAAUUGCAGUUGAUACUGGAUAUCUUGAGUGCAGUUGAGGCAGGCGGAAUUCGUGGUGUAGCGGUGAAAUGCUUAGAUAUCACGAAGAACUCCGAUUGCGAAGGCAGCCUGCUAAGCUGCAACUGACAUUGAGGCUCGAAAGUGUGGGUAUCAAACAGGAUUAGAUACCCUGGUAGUCCACACGGUAAACGAUGAAUACUCGCUGUUUGCGAUAUACUGCAAGCGGCCAAGCGAAAGCGUUAAGUAUUCCACCUGGGGAGUACGCCGGCAACGGUGAAACUCAAAGGAAUUGACGGGGGCCCGCACAAGCGGAGGAACAUGUGGUUUAAUUCGAUGAUACGCGAGGAACCUUACCCGGGCUUAAAUUGCAGAUGAAUUACGGUGAAAGCCGUAAGCCGCAAGGCAUCUGUGAAGGUGCUGCAUGGUUGUCGUCAGCUCGUGCCGUGAGGUGUCGGCUUAAGUGCCAUAACGAGCGCAACCCUUGUUGUCAGUUACUAACAGGUUCCGCUGAGGACUCUGACAAGACUGCCAUCGUAAGAUGUGAGGAAGGUGGGGAUGACGUCAAAUCAGCACGGCCCUUACGUCCGGGGCUACACACGUGUUACAAUGGGGGGUACAGAGGGCCGCUACCACGCGAGUGGAUGCCAAUCCCCAAAACCUCUCUCAGUUCGGACUGGAGUCUGCAACCCGACUCCACGAAGCUGGAUUCGCUAGUAAUCGCGCAUCAGCCACGGCGCGGUGAAUACGUUCCCGGGCCUUGUACACACCGCC